GGAGGAAAAGAAACCAACAGGGAUUGCCUCAGUAACGGCGAGUGAAGCGGCAACAGCUCAAAUUUGAAAUCUGGCCUCACGGUCCGAGUUGUAAUUUGUAGAGGAUGUUUCGAGCAUGGUCCGGCCUAAGUGUCUUGGAACAGGACGUCAUAGAGGGUGAGAACCCCGUAUGCGGUCGGGUGCCUACGCUCAUGUGAAACUCCUUCGACGAGUCGAGUUGUUUGGGAAUGCAGCUCAAAAUGGGUGGUAAAUUUCAUCUAAAGCUAAAUAUUGGCCAGAGACCGAUAGCGCACAAGUAGAGUGAUCGAAAGAUGAAAAGCACUUUGGAAAGAGAGUUAAACAGUACGUGAAAUUGUUGAAAGGGAAGCGCUUGCAACCAGACUUGGGCGCGGCCGAUCAUCCGGUGUUCUCACCGGUGCACUCGGUCGCGUGCAGGCCAGCAUCGGUUCUGGUGGCUGGAUAAAGGCCCUAGGAAUGUGGCUCCUCUCGGGGAGUGUUAUAGCCUAGGGUGCAAUGCAGCCUACCGGGACCGAGGACCGCGCUUCGGCUAGGAUGCUGGCGUAAUGGUUGUAAGUGACCCGUCUUGAAACACGGACCAAGGAGUCUAACAUCUAUGCGAGUGUUUGGGUGUCAAACCCAUACGCGUAAUGAAAGUGAACGGAGGUGAGAACCCUUAAGGGUGCAUCAUCGACCGAUCCUGAUGUCUUCGGAUGGAUUUGAGUAUGAGCAUAGCUGUUGGGACCCGAAAGAUGGUGAACUAUGCCUGACUAGGGUGAAGCCAGAGGAAACUCUGGUGGAGGCUCGCAGC
rnacentral:misc_RNA from 1 species